UGAGCAAUCUGCCCUUCUCAUCGGAAUAAGCGUUGGAAACGACGUCUAAUGCCGAAUACGACCUCCUUUCGCAUGAUCGGAGGUGGAAAGCUCCGGCGGAGAAGGAUGAGCUCGCGGCCUAUCAGCUAGUUGGUGUGGGUAACGGCCCACCAAGGCGACGACGGGUAGCCGGCCUGAGAGGGUGACCGGCCACACUGGGACUGAGACACGGCCCAGACUCCUACGGGAGGNAGCG
rnacentral:rRNA from 1 species